rnacentral:misc_RNA from 1 species
GAUGAAGAACGUAGUGAAGUGCGAUAAGUAAUGUGAAUUGCAGAAUUCCGUGAAUCAUCGAAUCUUUGAACGCAAAUUGCGCUUCCUGGCAUCCCGGGAAGUAUGCCUGUUUGAGGGUCAGUGUUAAUAAAAAUCGGUUCGUUGCGAAUUUUUUGUGACGUUCCGGAGUUUGGGUUAUCUUAACUUUUUUGGUUAAGAGGCUUAAAAUUGACCUUUUUUUUGCGCAUUUUUUAGACGUACAUAAAUUUUUUUUUUAUUCGUCUAUUCUUAAUGCCAAAAUAUAUUAGAUGCGACCAUAUCGUGUGGUUCCGUGUCUAUAAAUUUUUCAUGAUUUGACCUCAAAUCAGGUAGGAGUACCCGCUGAACUUAAGCAUAUCAAUAAGCGGAGGA